GCGGUGGUAGCUCAGCUGGAUAGAGCAGCGGUUUUCUAAACCGCCGGUCGGGUGUUCGAGUCACCUCCACCGCACCA
rnacentral:tRNA from 5 species